GCGCAGCAGGCGCGAAACCUCCGCAAUGCGGGAAACCGCGACGGGGGACCCGAGUGCCGUGGCAACGCCACGGCUUUUCCGGAGUGUAAAAAGCUCCGGGAAUAAGGGCUGGGCAAGGCCGGUGGCAGCCGCCGCGGUAAUACCGGCGGCCCGAGUGGUGGCCGCUAUUAUUGGGCCUAAAGCGUCCGUAGCCGGGCCCGUAAGUCCCUGGCGAAAUCCCACGGCUCAACCGUGGGGCUUGCUGGGGAUACUGCGGGUCUUGGGACCGGGAGAGGCGGGGGGUACCCCUGGGGUAGGGGUGAAAUCCUAUAAUCCCAGGGGGACCGCCAGUGGCGAAGGCGCCCCGCUGGAACGGGUCCGACGGUGAGGGACGAAGGCCAGGGGAGCAAAACCGGAUUAGAUA
rnacentral:rRNA from 1 species